rnacentral:lncRNA from 1 species
CUUAAAAUUAACUGCAGACUCACUGAAGAGAAUUGCUAAUGAAAAACAUGAUGUGGAAAAAGAAAAUAAUGAAGAGAGGGAUGAUAGCAGAAUGACAUUUAAGAAGAGGGAUGAAAACUGAGAGCAGCAUGUUGGUGUGCAGCUAGUCUGCAAGAAAGAGAUUAAGAAGGUGGAGUUAGUAACAUCCCAAGAUAAAUCCAGUGGAAAGCACCUCAGGGGUCUGCUGGCCAGUGUGGCUCAAGCAGGGUCAGCUGUGAGAUCAGACAUGGUUACACAGGGCUUCAACCACUUGGGUCUUGG